GUCUUUUUGAAUUAAAUUUAAAGUCUAACCUGCCCACUGAAAAUUUUAAAUGGCCGCAGUAUUCUAACUGUGCAAAGGUAGCAUAAUCAUUAGUCUUUUAAUUGAAGGCUGGAAUGAAUGGUUGGACGAAAUAUUAACUGUUUCAUUUAGAUUUUUUAUAGAAUUUUAUUUUUUAGUCAAAAAGCUAAAAUAAAUUUAAAAGACGAGAAGACCCUAUAAAUCUUUAUAUUUUAUUUAUUUUAAUUAUAAAGAUUGUUUUUAUUAUAAUAAAUUAAAAUAUUUUAUUGGGGUGAUAUUAAAAUUUAAAAAACUUUUAAUUUUUAAAGCCAUUAAUUUAUGAAUAAUUGAUCCAUUAAUAAUGAUUAAAAAUUUAAGUUACUUUAGGGAUAACAGCGUAAUUUUUUUGGAGAGUUCAUAUCGAUAAAAAAGAUUGCGACCUCGAUGUUGGAUUAAGAUAUAAUUUUGGGUGUAGCCGUUCAAAUUUUAAGUCUGUUCGACUUUUAAAUUCUU
rnacentral:rRNA from 1 species